CCCGGACUCCUACGGGAGGCAGCAGUGGGGAAUAUUGGACAAUGGGGGGAACCCUGAUCCAGCCAUGCCGCGUGUGUGAAGAAGGCCUUUUGGUUGUAAAGCACUUUAAGCAGUGAAGAAGACUCUUCGGUUAAUACCCGGGGACGAUGACAUUAGCUGCAGAAUAAGCACCGGCUAACUCUGUGCCAGCAGCCGCGGUAAUACAGAGGGUGCAAGCGUUAAUCGGAAUUACUGGGCGUAAAGCGAGCGUAGGUGGCUUGAUAAGUCAGAUGUGAAAUCCCCGGGCUUAACCUGGGAACUACAUCUGAAACUGUUAGGCUAGAGUAGGUGAGAGGGAAGUAGAAUUUCAGGUGUAGCGGUGAAAUGCGUAGAGAUCUGAAGGAAUACCGAUGGCGAAGGCAGCUUCCUGGCAUCAUACUGACACUGAGGCUCGAAAGCGUGGGUAGCAAACAGGAUUAGAUACCCUGGUAGUCCACGCCGUAAACGAUGUCUACUAGUCGUUGGGUCCCUUGAGGACUUAGUGACGCAGCUAACGCAAUAAGUAGACCGCCUGGGGAGUACGGCCGCAAGGUUAAAACUCAAAUGAAUUGACGGGGGCCCGCACAAGCGGUGGAGCAUGUGGUUUAAUUCGAUGCAACGCGAAGAACCUUACCUGGUCUUG
rnacentral:rRNA from 1 species